GCCGGUGUAGCUCAGUUGGUAGAGCAGCGCUCUUGUAAAGCGAAGGCCGGGGGUUCGAGUCCCUCCACCGGCG
rnacentral:tRNA from 1 species